AGAGUUUGAUCCUGGCUCAGAUUGAACGCUGGCGGCAGGCCUAACACAUGCAAGUCGAGCGGUAACAGAAAGUAGCUUGCUACUUUGCUGACGAGCGGCGGACGGGUGAGUAAUGCUUGGGAACAUGCCUUGAGGUGGGGGACAACAGUUGGAAACGACUGCUAAUACCGCAUAAUGUCUACGGACCAAAGGGGGCUUCGGCUCUCGCCUUUAGAUUGGCCCAAGUGGGAUUAGCUAGUUGGUGAGGUAAUGGCUCACCAAGGCGACGAUCCCUAGCUGGUUUGAGAGGAUGAUCAGCCACACUGGGACUGAGACACGGCCCAGACUCCUACGGGAGGCAGCAGUGGGGAAUAUUGCACAAUGGGCGCAAGCCUGAUGCAGCCAUGCCGCGUGUGUGAAGAAGGCCUUCGGGUUGUAAAGCACUUUCAGUCAGGAGGAAAGGUUAGUAGUUAAUACCUGCUAGCUGUGACGUUACUGACAGAAGAAGCAUAAGCUAACUCCGUGACAGCAGCCGCGGUAAUAC
rnacentral:rRNA from 1 species